AUGCCUGGGAAAUUGCCCUGAUGUGGGGGAUAACCAUUGGAAACGAUGGCUAAUACCGCAUAAUAGCUUCGGCUCAAAGAGGGGGACCUUCGGGCCUCUCGCGUCAGGAUAUGCCCAGGUGGGAUUAGCUAGUUGGUGAGGUAAUGGCUCACCAAGGCGACGAUCCCUAGCUGGUCUGAGAGGAUGAUCAGCCACACUGGAACUGAGACACGGUCCAGACUCCUACGGGAGGCAGCAGUGGGGAAUAUUGCACAAUGGGCGCAAGCCUGAUGCAGCCAUGCCGCGUGUAUGAAGAAGGCCUUCGGGUUGUAAAGUACUUUCAGCAGUGAGGAAGGUGGUGUCGUUAAUAGCGGCAUCAUUUGACGUUAGCUGCAGAAGAAGCACCGGCUAACUCCGUGCCAGCAGCCGCGGUAAUACGGAGGGUGCGAGCGUUAAUCGGAAUUACUGGGCGUAAAGCGCAUGCAGGUGGUUUGUUAAGUCAGAUGUGAAAGCCCGGGGCUCAACCUCGGAAUUGCAUUUGAAACUGGCAGACUAGAGUACUGUAG
rnacentral:rRNA from 1 species